rnacentral:rRNA from 1 species
UACGUAGGGGGCUAGCGUUGUCCGGAAUCAUUGGGCGUAAAGCGCGUGUAGGCGGUUCGGUAAGUCCGCUGUGAAAGUCGGGGGGCUCAACCCGGGAACUGCGUCCGAUACUGGAAGGCUUGAAUCCGGGAGAGGGAUGUGGAAUUCCAGGUGUAGCGGUGAAAUGCGUAGAUAUCUGGAGGAACACCGGUGGCGAAGGCGACAUCCUGGACCGGUAUUGACGCUGAGGCGCGAAAGCCAGGGGAGCAAACGGG